UAUAACCGGCGAUACCCGAAUGGGGAAACCCAGUGUGACUCGUCACACUAUCAUUAACUGAAUCCAUAGGUUAAUGAGGCGAACCGGGGGAACUGAAACAUCUAAGUACCCCGAGGAAAAGAAAUCAACCGAGAUUCCCCCAGUAGCGGCGAGCGAACGGGGAGGAGCCCAGAGCCUGAAUCAGCAUGUGUGUUAGUGGAAGCGUCUGGAAAGGCGCGCGAUACAGGGUGACAGCCCCGUACACAAAAGCGCAUGUGCUGUGAGCUCGAUGAGUAGGGCGGGACACGUGGUAUCCUGUCUGAAUAUGGGGGGACCAUCCUCCAAGGCUAAAUACUCCUGACUGACCGAUAGUGAACCAGUACCGUGAGGGAAAGGCGAAAAGAACCCCGGCGAGGGGAGUGAAAAAGAACCUGAAACCGUGUACGUACAAGCAGUGGGAGCACCCUUUGGGUGUGACUGCGUACCUUUUGUAUAAUGGGUCAGCGACUUAUAUUCUGUAGCAAGGUUAACCGAAUAGGGGAGCCGGAGGGAAACCGAGUCUUAAUUGGGCGUUAAGUUGCAGGGUAUAGACCCGAAACCCGGUGAUCUAGCCAUGGGCAGGUUGAAGGUUGGGUAACACUAACUGGAGGACCGAACCGACUAAUGUUGAAAAAUUAGCGGAUGACCUGUGGCUGGGGGUGAAAGGCCAAUCAAACCGGGAGAUAGCUGGUUCUCCCCGAAAGCUAUUUAGGUAGCGCCUCGUGAAUUCAUCUCCGGGGGUAGA
rnacentral:rRNA from 1 species